CUUCCAGCGGUCUAAAGUGGUGUUCAUUUGUCUUCCAUUCCCAAUGGCGGCCUGUUUUCUACCCAAACUGAAGGGAAAAGACUGGCUGAGGCGUUCAUAACCACAGCGUCCAACUGGUUCCUCCGUGGAGGAGGACUCGGCACCCUGAUGAGUUCCUCCUAAGCGUCCCACGGAGUCGGAGCACAAACAAGGAUGGGAGGGAAAGGAGUGCAGCAGGAGAGACGGAGGACGAGCUCAGCCGUGCUCGCUCUGUAGCGCAGGACCCGGGGAUUCCAGGACCUUUUGGUAGUUGUGAGCACGCAAACACUCACGCAGAAACACGGCUGUGAUACAAAUCUGUACAAGGCUCAGAGACGGAGUGA